CCCACCUGUCGAGCAGCAAACAGCAACACAGAGACUCAGACAUUGGUGAUGAUGCUUUCAGGCCUGAAAAUGGAUAGAAUGACGCGUGUCUCAGUCUUCCGGUGUGUUUUCCUGCUUUGUGAAUUUAUUCCUGUCUCCUCCUCCUGCUCUUCACAGCGUGUUGUGUUCGCUUCCUGCCUCGUGCGGUGAUGUUUACUUUGGCUCGUUCCCCCCCCUGUUUGCAGCCGGUGCGUUUGGACGCGCGUGAUGAGCGAGCCUCCGUAGACUGAACGUGAACGGUGGGUGACAUCAUCGCCGCCGCUGCUUUCUGAUCGCGCCCGUCUGGACCUUCCUCCUUCGUGCGCCUGCGGCUUGUGGGAGCAGUCAGGAGACCCGGCGAGGGCGAAGCCACGGGACGCGGCAGCACUGAAGCUCCCAGUGUGCGGAACUCACUUGUGACGGCCACGUGUCUGUUGUUUUUGCCCUCGUCGAUGGCGUCCAUGACCUCGUCGGGGCUGCAGACGAAGCGCUCGGUACAGCCCUGAGGACACAGCACAAGGAGAGGCUGUGUUCAGCAGCCCCACGGCAGCGCCCCUGCGGAUCGCGGCGCUCGUCCCCCGUCUCCCGCGCCACUGCCCUGCACCUGAACACACCGCGGCCUCACCUUGACGUACGGCACCCUGUUUUUAUCCUCGUGCACCGAAAGGUUGGUCUUCGAUACUGUGGAGUGAAGCGGAGGGUCAUUCUGAUGUUUGCAUCAGCCUCUGAUUGGCUGACAACAAUAGAGGCAGGAACUGUACCGUCUAACAGGUCCCUGAUUUUAUCCAAGUAGAUUUCAAAGUAUGAAACCUGGGAAGCAAAAACGCAUGUUAGGACUUGAACGCUCUGACUUGACGUGUUAUGAUGCCUUCAGGAGGCAGAACAUACUUUGAUGUGAAACUCCAGGUUCUCGUCCAUGGAGUAAAUGUAGUUGAAGAUGUCUUGAACAAUCCUGGGAAUGAUGCCCAUCAUAUCUGGGUCAUGGAGUUUCCCCUGUAAAGAGACAUAUGAAUGAAGCAGCAUGUGUCUCGCUCCGUGCACGCGUGGCAGCGGCUGUGUUACCUCCAUGGUGUGUGUUUUGCCAGAGGAGGUCUGGCCGUAGGCGAAUAUCGUCCCGUUGUACCCCUCCAGAACAUCUGCCCUCGGCAACACACAGACAUGACGGGGUUAAACGUGCAGCGCCGGCGCAGACGCCGCGUGGGCCGCGCGGAGCAGCUCACCUCUGACGAUCUUCUGGGCCACAGCGUUGUAGAACUGCACCUGAGUUGUGUUGGACUGGAACACGCGGUCGAAGUAGUACGGCUUCCCCUGUGGACGGAGGCACGCGGGCCGUGUUAGCGCCACCGGCACACAAAUGCUUCUAUUAUUAACCACUGCCAAUGAAUAGAAAAUGAUCUUGGUGUAAAAUCCGGAUUUAGGGACAUGUGAUGGAACUGUUUUGUUGUUUCCAUGACUACUGAGCAUCGUCUGCUGAGGAAGAACAUAACAGAAAGUCAAACACAUACAACCCAUACUUUAUUAACAUUUAUUAACAUUAAUUAGAGCUGGUAUCUGUUAGUUUAAGCACCGAGGCCUGAACCAAAGCUUCGACUGCUUCACAUCAAACACCGUGUGAGUGGAAGCUGGUACCAGAGAACAAAGAAGCCCUUCAUCUUCUCAGCGUCAGCGUUUAUAGAUACAUGUACAUGAAGGAGGUGGUGACCCAAACAACUUUUCGUGUGCUCCCAUUUUCCAUCUCGGCAUUUUAAAUCAUCCUCAUCCUCUAUCGUUAGUUACCUGAAAAUGUCCGAUGCUGAUCACUCGUUUACAUUUAUGAGACCUUAACACCAGAAGGGUCUCUGCUUUUUAGUGCUGUUCUUCCGCCUGGAGCUGGAGACAUUAACCAGGACUGAUUUACUGUUUGUUGUUAUGAUGGGUCCUGCGUUAGCAGGAUUUUCAGUUGUCUCCUGUUGAAGAAUCUUUAGACUAAAACAGGCUAGAAUACGUCUGUUCUCCUAUGUUCUGGUUCUGGUUCCGGUCACACACUCACCGCGAUCUGCACACAGUCCUCCCCCUGAAACUUUGGGAUGUACUUGUCCCCCCGGGUCACCUCCGAGCUGUUCAGUGGCCUGAAGCGACACACCACCUUGAUGGUGCACUCUGCCGGGUCCGCCAUCGGCCCGGUUCUGACGGAUGGAAGGAUGGAGGGACAAGCAGACGGGCGGAUGGAUGGACGGUCGUCCUGCAGCUCCGGUCACAGCCUCACAGCGUUGCAGUGGCUGAGCAGAGUUAGAGCUCCAGUAAUAAACGAAUAGUCACUUCCAUUGAAGUGUUGGCGUUGGUGCCCUCGAGCGUUGUCUUCAAAGUAAAAUUAAGAAUAUUUAAAAAAAUUAAGUUCUGCAAAUAAAGACUAAAGAAUCUCGCACAAAACAAAAGUUGAGGUAGAAGUAAAAAAUGAAGAAUGGUCGACUUUGAUGUAGAGACAGAGCAGGGAGGGUCUGAAACAUAGCCCGAGUCCUUCUCAUAUGAACACAGCGUCACAUGGGAAAGUGGUUGGUUGGUGUCAGGAUGUGCUCAGAAGAAGUGAGCUUUCACUUUAUUAUUGUACUGAUUUAUUAAAUGACUGUGACAUUA